CAUUAUAUUCAGUAUAUUUUGUGGCCUAAUACCUUCUCGUUGUGUGUAAGAUGUGUAUAUAUAUGGAUGAUGCGUUGAUACAACAAACAUAUAUGCCAUUGUUUGUUAGAAAACAAAUUCUAUUAUAAGGAGCACCAAACAAGCAUCAAAGGUCAAAUUACAUGGACAAGUACAUAAACUUCUUCCACGUUGGGACAAUGCUCACAGUGAUUCUCCUGUGCUUUGCAAUCCAUGUACAAUGUAAAAUCAUGGAAGGCAAGGAAAAUGAGAAGAUUAAUAUACCAACUGGACUAUGCGUCUACAAAAAAUAUUAUACGGCCUGCAAACAGAAGUCAGCUUGUUUCUGCUGUUUAGCGAAUAACUACUGCUAUUUUUCAAUGGGUGCAUGCCAGGAUGAUUGUCCAAAGCGUUCUUCAGUGGUCAUAGAUGCUUCACCGAGCCCUCUCCCGUCCAUCUAAUAUACUUAUGAGAAGUAUGUUAGUGCUAUCGGUGGCCAGUAUCCCAAUGUUCGCCACCACAUGCCAUUUUCACGUUUGUUUACCAUUGUCGAGUACAUGAAUAAAAUAUGGUUAUGUCCAUCGAAAGAUAAA